rnacentral:tRNA from 1 species
GAGGGUAGAGCUCAGGGGUAGAGCGCAUGUUUAGCAUGCAUGAGGUCCUGGGUCCAGUCCCCGCUACCUCCA